rnacentral:lncRNA from 1 species
AGCACUCUGCGGCCAGCUCUAGGCUGGAGGGGAACAUCCAUUGUGGCCACAAGGCCUCGCCCAACCUCACAGCAGCUGCCCGGCCCCACCUCCUCUUCCCUUGGUUGGGGCAUUUGCUGACCGUGGCCUUUUCGGUCCAAGGUGGGAGGCCACAGGGAGCAGAGGGUCGGAGGUACAGAGCCCAGAGGCCCCCAGGACCCAGGCAAGCUGAAGCCCUCGGACAGCCCAUAUCCAGCCUCUUCUUUGCUUUCAGAUAAGAACUUUAAAAAGAAAACAUCCUACAGAAAAGAAGCUCAGCUUUUCCCCGCUGCUGGCUGAGUGGGUUUCCUAAGAGCGGGUAUUUCCUCCACCCCAGCAGCGCUUUUCAGCGAGGAGCAUCUCCGUCUCCACGGAGGGCAGCCUGGAAUGGGGGAACGCAGUCAGGCUGACAUUGCUGUGACCUCCGCGGCUCGGGGUGGGCUGCUGACCGUGACCACCGGCUCCGAGGAAGAAAGAGCCCAGAUGGGGAGUGUCUGCCAAUACCUGUGGUGCAAAUGCUCCCACCGGGGCUGGCUUCGAGCUGCCAAGGGGACAUGCUGCAGGCAGGGGCGGGCACCCUGCGGUGACACCCACGUGACCCGACCUCAGACAGACACGACCCACGACCAACCUCUGGAUCCUGGAGGAGCGCACAGGGCCGCAGCGUGAGAGGCAGUGGCGCGUGCUGUGUUCAGCGCUUCUGUUUUUAGUGACUUCUUUAUUUGUAAGUUCUUAUGAUUUAAUUUGUUUUUGAGAUAUGGUUUUGCUCCAUCACUCAGGCUGGAGGGCAGUGGCGCAACCACAGCUCACUGCAGCCUCAACCUCCUGGGCUCAAGUGAUCCUCCUGUCUCAGCCUCCCGAGGAGCUGGGACCGCAGGUACACGCCACCACAUCCAGCUUAUUUAUUUAUUUAUUUAUUUAUUUAUUUAUUUAUUUCUGAGACAGAGUCUCGCUCUGUCACCCAGGCUGGAGUGCAGCCGCGCGAUCUCGGCUCACUGAAAGCUCCGCCUCCCGGGCUCACGCCAUUCUCCUGCCUCAGCCUCCCAAGUAGCUGGGACUACGGGCGCCUGCCACCACAUUUGGCUAACUUUUUUGUAUUUUUAGUUGAGACGGGUUUUCACCGUGUUAGCCAGGAUUGUCUGUCUCCUGACCUCGUGAUCCGCCUGCCUCAGCCUCCCAAAGUGCUGGGAUUACAGGUGUGAGCCACCGCGCCUGGCCUAUUUAUUUUUUUAUCUGCAGAGAUGAGAUCUUGCUGUGUUGCCCAGGCUGGUCUCUCACUCCUGUCCUCAAGCCAUCCUCCCUCCUCGGACUCCUGGCGUGCUGGGGUUACAGCAUGAGCCCCCACGCCAGGCUGAUUUAAUUUUAAUAGUUCUGUGUAUGACGGCCAGCUCACCCGAUUCCAGGACAUGAAGGCUCAGCUCUUAGGAGCUGGCUCUGCACACCACCUGUGUGACGGCUGCAAUUCACACCAGACCCCAACAAGACCGAGGCUUUGGUCUGACCGUGAAGGCCCCGGCGAGGACAGCAUCACCCUCAGCCCCAGGCAAGAGGGGACCUGUAGUUCCCCUCCAGCCCCGCUGAGGCCUGAGCUGCCUUCGCAAUCCCAUCCUGAGUACCUCAAGGCCCUGGGGUUCCCGAGGCUCCUGCCCCAAAGGUCCCACGAGCACCACGUGUCUUCCUCUUCCAAGUCCUCUGCCUGCGGUGCUGGGCCUGGUGUGGGGGCAGCCAAGGGCGCUCUGUGCAGGACCCGGACCCAGCAUGGCCACUCGGAGUGCGGGCCCGGCAUCCCGAAGCCCCCUUCCCGUGAGAGUGAAGCCGGAGGCGAUGGAGGGAGGCAGGAGGCAUGGCUGUGUGUCCUCGGGAAGCUGAGAUUUCUAACCUUGAGUCUGAACGUCCAGGCUGGUGUGAAGUCUGUCACGGCGGGAGCACGGAGGCUACUCUGCGAGUUCCACGGGGCAUCAGCCGGGGCGGUGUUAUUUAACGCCAGGACGUGCAGUGUAUGGGCCUCUCUUGGUCUCUGGGCCCUGCCUGCGUUAGGGCAUCGGCCGGGUCGGCUGUAUUUAAAUGCCCAUGUAGUGCCUGGGCCUCCACAGAGCUCUAGGCCCCGUCCAUGACGGUGCAGGCGUGUUCUCGGUGGAAACACAGCCGGUGAAGGCGGGAGGAGGGAAGAGUGAGCUCUCCCUGCCUGAGAGUCUCCGAGGGGUCCAGACUGAGGGUUGGGGGUGCAGGAGGGGAGGCCCCAGGGCUCAGCGGAUCCCAGGUUGUGCAGGGUUCAGUGGGUUUCAUUGAGGAAUUUGGACUCUGCCCCAGGGGUGACGGGAGCCAACAGGCAGCGGCUACCUCCUGCCUCCUCUCCGUGAUCCAGGUGCUCAGAGGAGCCAGGCAGCAUGGCUGAGGCCACACAGACGUGCAGGAGGGAGUGCAGAGCAGGGCCCCGUCGUGCCUGAGGAUAGAAGGUGCUUCCUUCCUGGGGCAGCAGCCUCCCUGCGAGAAGGCGGCUCUCCAGGGCUGCCUGGAACGCAUAACCGACGGCUUGCAAUCUGCACCCUGUGAUUUAUUUAUAUGGGGUUGAAGUACUGCAGGGGUCCCGUGCUGCUGUGUCAGGAUUGGGCCCACGUAGCGCGCAGACCAUUUGCCUUGCAUGAAAAAUGCAUGAUGGCGUCGGGAAGCCGCUGGGAAGUUUCGCGACGCCCGUGCAGGGGUCCUCGCACGGCCGACUGGCUGUCAGCGCCCCGGUCCUGCCGCCCAUGUUGCCAAUGGAUGAGCCAAAUGUCCCUCGUGCGAGGGGCCUUGUAGAUCCUGCAGACACCGCGCCUCUCACCAGGGAGUAAGGGAAUGGUCUUCCCCUGGGACCCACGAGUUCAUCCUCAGCUCCACCUUCACCCACAGGCCACGGGGAAACCGCCCGGUGCAGGGGGCUCAGCACACCACCAAGAGCCUUUUAAAAAGGCUUUGGGUAACAGGGAGGAAGAAAGCCCAGUUUUAAACACCAAGUGUGGUCUGCGGGAACUUCCUAGGGCAGCCUGUCCAGUGGGAGUGUCUGUGGUGAUGGGAAUGCCCGUGUCUGUGUGAGCCACGUGGUGGUCACUGGUCACAUGUGGAGACGGGAAUGCCCGUGUCUGUGUGAGCCACGCGGUGGGUCACUGGUCACAUGUGGAGACGGGAAUCCUUGUGUCUGUGUGAGCCACGCGGUGGUCACUGGUCACACGUGGCGGGAAUGCCCGUGUCUGUGUGAGCCACGUGGUGGUCACUGGUCACGUGUGGCUGCUGAGCCCUUGAAAUGUGGCUCGUACAGUUGAGGAAGUGUGGCCUGUGCAGUUGAGGAGCCGGCUUUUAAAUUUUAUUUAAUUUUAAUGAAUUUAAGUGUAAACAUAAAUAGCUACCAUAUCGGACCAUGUCUAGGUUGAUGACAUAUUGUCUUUUUUUUUUGGCUUUUUAAAGUGGUUGUAUCGUUAUUAUUAUUUAAUUAAAUCAAUUAAUUUUUGAGACAGGGCCUUGCUGUGUCGCCCAGGCUGCAGUGCAGGGGGGUGAUCACAGCUCACUGCAGCCUCAACUUCCCAUGCUCAAGCCGUCCUCCCACCUUAGCCUCCCGAGUACCUGGGACUACAGGCACGUGCCACCACGCAUGGCUAAUCUUGUACUUUUUGUAGACAUGAGGUCUCGCUAUGUUGCCCAGGCCGGUCUUGAACUCCUAGGCUCAACUCAUCUUCCUGUCUUGGCUUCUUGAAGUGUUGGGAUUACAGGCGUGAGCCACCUGUGCCUGGCCUAUUUUUUAUUUGUAAAUAUAAGGGGUACAAGUGCAGUUACAUGGAAACACUGUGUAGUGGUGAAGUCGGGGCUGUCAGUGUAGCCAUCACCAGAGAGCGUACAUCAAACGCACCGGGAACUUUCUCAUCCCUCGCCCCACCCUCCUGAGCAUCCACGGGUGAGUGUUCCCCACUCUGUGUCCACGUGCACACAUCAUUUAGCUCCCACCUGUAAGUGAGGACACGUGCUCUUUGUCCUUCUGUUUCUGAACUGUUUGACUCAGCACUAUGUUCUCCCGUUCCAUCCACGUUCCUGCAAAGGGCACAAUUUUACACUUUUUCAUGGCUGAAUAGUACUCCAUCGUGUAUAUGCACCACAUUCUCUUUCUCCAGCCGUCUGUUGGUGGAGCCCUAGGCUGAUUCCGUGUCUUUGCUGUUGUGAAUGGUGCUGUGAUGGACGUGCACGUGCAGGUGUCUUUUUGAUGUAAUCAUUUCCUUCGAGUAGCUGCCCGGCAGUGGGAUUGCUGGAUGAGUUCUGUUUUCAGUUCUUUGAUAAAUCUCUUUACUGGGGCAGUGGGAUUGCUGGAUGAGUUCUGUUUUCAGUUCUUUGAUAAAUCUCUUUACUGUGCUCCACAGGGGCUGACAAUAUUCCCGGUGAGGGUUUGGGAGACGCAGGUGUGUGCACGUCUCAGAACUCAUCUCACGGAACUGUUAAGAUCUGUGAAUUCCACUGUAAAUUUUACCUAAAACAAGAGAACUGUUGACAGAUAUUGGAUUCUAGUUAAUACUUCUGAAAUAUUUGUAUUGAAAUAUACUGUUGUCUACAACUUCCUGUGAAAUGCAUCCAAUAAAAUAAGAUGGGUUGACGGAGGGGUGGGGGGACGGAGAGGUGACUGGGUCUAUGGUGAAGAAAUGAGCCAGUGUUGAUCGUAGAAUCCAGGCAGAGGUGCCGGGCUUCACAAUAAAGUGCUGAAGAAGCUCCAAAUACA